rnacentral:lncRNA from 1 species
UGGCACAAAUGUUAGUGAGCUGGAAAAUUCCAUUUCCAGCUUUUGUAGUCCACAGCUGGAAAGUGAAUUUUGAAUUUUUCCAACCUUUUGUGCAUUUUACGUGUCAGAAGAAAAGUGUUCAGGCUGAAUGAACAGAUCUGAAUGUGUGGAGCUGAUGCACGUGAAUAUAAUAUAAUAUUAUAUUUAUAUUAUAUUAUGUCAACAUAUAUGACUCAAACAAUCCAGGUCCGUUGUUCUGAGUCCAGCUCCACGUUUUCCUCCUCACAGACAAACUUCAGGUCACGUGACCUCGAACCACGAAACAAGGUAAAUCUCAGCCGAAGCGUCGUGCACCUGAUGAGGAGGAGGAGGAAGAGGAGGAGGAAGGAAGAAGGAGGAGGAGGAGGAAGAGGAGGAGGAGGAGGAGGAGGAGGAGGAGGAGGAGGAGGAGGAGGAGGAGGAAGAAGAGGAGGAGGAGGAGGAGGAGGAGGAGGAGGAGGAGGAGGAGGAGGAAGAGGAGGAGGAGGAAGAGGAGGAGGAGGAGGAGGAGGAGGAGGAGGAGGAGGAGGAGGAGGAGGAGGAGGAGGAGGAGGAGGAGGAGGAGGAGGAGGAGGAGGAGGAAGGAGGAGGAGGAGGAAGAGGAGGAGGAGUUUACUUCACCUUCCUCCAUCACACCGUCGCUCUCUCAGGUGUUUUCGCUCCGUUUCCCCGCAGGGUCCCGAGGAGCUGAAAGUGGGCGGAGUCACGAGCAGACCCUGGUGCGAGGAUCGUGGGUGGAGACGGCGAGACUCGGGCGGCAGGAGAGAGAAGAUGAAAUGAAGACUUGAGUGAUAUAUUUAUGUCCGAGGUUCUGCAGAUGUUUGGACCAUGAAUGCAACGAUCCACUGUCUCAUGCACUUUUGAAAGAAAUGAAAUUCAUCUAGACGUCUUUUUUAUUCAGCAGCCGAGUUGGUUUGAUUUAAUUUUUUUUCUUUUCCACGCUGGUGCUGAACUGAGUCUGUGUUCGUGUAUUUGCUGCAUGAACCAAGUGUCUGAAAAAGGAAAAAUAUUUCAGUGUCUGUAAGUUUUUAAUUUUUCUCUUUUUUUUUAACUUUCUGUUCUUUUUGGAGUUGAAAGCAUAAAAGCAUGAACACGAACAACGACGGGCUUUUUUUAUUCCCUGCGCUCUUCUCGUCCGCUCAUCACAUCCAUUAAAAAGAAAAACCUUUGUGAGAAUAAACGUGAAGGCGACUUGUUAUUCACACA